rfam:Gossypium hirsutum cultivar TM-1 chromosome 1, whole genome shotgun sequence
AUUCCGUGAUGAGGGAACUUUCAUAAUAAUUUUUUACACCUGUCUCAUGCCUCAUGUAAGGACUCAUCAUCCAUUUAUUGAAAAGCAGUGAUCUCGUUCCUCAACUU